UUAGAAUGAGAAAUGAUACCAGUGGCU
rnacentral:piRNA from 1 species